GUGGCUCAAAAGAGUAGGGUGCCGGCCUCAUAUGCCGGAGGUGGUUGGUUCAAACCCAGCC
rfam:Otolemur garnettii contig001165, whole genome shotgun sequence.